UUCCGGUUGAUCCCGCCGGACCUGACUGCUAUCGGAUUGAUACUAAGCCAUGUGAGUCAUUGUAGCAAUACAAGGCAGACGGCUCAGUAACACGUAGCCAAUCUAACCUAUGGACGGGGAUAACCUCGGGAAACUGAGGAUAAACCCCGAUAGAUCAUUAUGCCUGGAACGGUUUAUGGUCCAAAUGAUUCGUCGCCGUAGGAUGAGACUGCGGCCUAUCAGCUUGUUGGUGAGGUAAUGGCCCACCAAGGCUAUUACAGGUACGGGCUCUGAGAGGAGAGGCCCGGAGAUGGGUACUGAGACACGGACCCAGGCCCUAUGGGGCGCAGCAGGCGAGAAACCUUUGCAAUGUGCGCAAGCACGACAAGGUUAAUCCGAGUGAUUCCUGCUAAAGGAAUCUUUUGUUAGUCUUAAAAUCACUAUUGAAUAAGGGGUGGGCAAGUUCUGGUGUCAGCCGCCGCGGUAAAACCAGCACCUCAAGUGGUCAGGAGGAUUAUUGGGCCUAAAGCAUCCGUAGCCUGCUCUGUAAGUUUCCGGUUAAAUCCAUUAGCUCAACUAAUGGCCUGCCGGAAAUACUGCAGAGCUAGGAAGUGGGAGAGGUAGACGGUACUCGGUAGGAAGGGGUAAAAUCCUUUGAUCUAUUGAUGACCACCUGUGGCGAAGGCGGUCUACCAGAACACGUUCGACGGUGAGGGAUGAAAGCUGGGGGAGCAAACCGGAUUAGAUACCCGGGUAGUCCCAGCUGUAAACGAUGCAGACUCGGUGAUGCGCUGGCUUGUGGCCAGUGCAGUGCCGCAGGGAAGCCGUUAAGUUUGCCGCCUGGGAAGUACGUACGCAAGUAUGAAACUUAAAGGAAUUGGCGGGGGAGCACCACAAGGGGUGAAGCCUGCGGUUCAAUUGGAUUCAACGCCGGA
rnacentral:rRNA from 1 species